UUUUAGCCCCGAUAGAGCCGGUAUCCUUUUUUGGUUGCCUGAGGCUCUCGAAGGCAACCGAAAAAGAUAAAGGCGAAAGCGGGAAUUAGC
rnacentral:sRNA from 1 species